GCGGGCCACGGGCCUCGCUGCGGGUUCAAGUGCGUCCGGGUUUGGACGUCGCGGCUCCAGGAGUGUGCUCUCUCUCCUGCCCAUCCGCUCCCCGGAGUUCAGCGCAUCCGCGGCCCCGGGGACCCCUCUUCCCGGCCCUCCUGGCCGCGCUGGGCCGCCCGCAUGGGGCCGAGGUUCCUGGCCGACGCGCGAGGGCGCGGGCGGGUACCGGGUUCCCGUUUUUCCCAGGCCCCGAUCCCCGCCCACGCACGAGGCCACCGGCCCACGCACGAGGCGCCCACGCCCAUCGUGGAGGCUUCGCCUGGAAAAGAAGUCCGACUUCCUCUCCAAGCUGCUCCGAGGGGAAUCGGGAAUCAGCAGGAAAUGACCCGAACUGCCAGCCUGCGCCUUUGCAGCCGGCCCUCGCUUUGCUGAAGACGAGCAGCUCCCACCAAAGUCUUGCCUCCCCUUACCCCGAAAGCCCCGCUCAGUUCAAUAUUUCAAGUGAAAAUUUGCCUGUUCAAAAAGAAAAUAUUCACAAAUGAGCAGUGUAUUAGAAGACAACUGAAUUGCUUCUAAGAAUGGGUCUCACUCUGCCAUCACCCAGGCUGGAGUGUGGUGGCACCAUCAUGGCUCACUGCAGCCUUGAACUCCUGAGCUCAAGUCAUCCUCCCACCUCAGCCUUCCGAGUAGCUGGAACUGCAGGUGUGAGCCACCAUGCCUGGCUGAUUUGUCUUUUUAAAUUUUUUUAUAGAGACCGGGUCUCAACUAUAUUGUCCAGGCUGGAAAAGAACUUCUUUCCCUCCAAGUGAUAACCUUUUCCAGACAAGUCAGCUUAAAAACUGACCCAAAGGCCCUGAAGUACACAGUUUCCUUGGAGAAAGAAAAACAUAAGUGAAAAGGACUUGCUGACUUGCUAAUUCAUUUUGGGGCCUGUGGGUAACAUCAGAAUGGCAAAGCACUUGGGGCUUUUUUCUAAUUUGUAUUUUUUUAAUCUUCUGAGAAAUGACUUUUAUAUGCCAAGAUUCAUUCCAUGAUUAGUUUUUAUGACCAAGUUAUGAACGCUUUUGAAUAUGGGGACCUAGAAUAGAAAUGCUAACCUACCUGUAAGGAGAGCUCUGUGAUUGGCAUCCCCAUCAUGCUGUAACUGACACAAAAUAAACUUAGGGUAAUCGCCGCAUAGUGUAACUUUAAUGUGUGAGCAUAUUGUAACAUCUGACAAGCUUCUUGAUCUAGUUCAGCAAUGUGUAACUCAUUCAUUGUUGUCACUCUCAACAAGGCCUUAUGGUCAAACAUCAUCACUCUCACUAAAGAGACAGUUUACUGAAAUAUACUGAGAUUUUGAAACUGGAGUCAAGAGGUAGCACACUGUUUUAUGUUGGUCCAUUUAAUGGUCCUUGACAGCCAAUAAAAAGACACUGGAAGAAUA
rnacentral:lncRNA from 1 species